UACAGAGGGGGCAAGGCGUUGUUCGGAAUUACUGGGCGUAAAGCGUGCGCAGGCGGCUUUGCAAGACAGAUGUGAAAUCCCCGGGCUUAACCUGGGAACUGCAUUUGUGACUGCACGGCUAGAGUACGGCAGAGGGGGAUGGAAUUCCGGAGUGUAGAGGUGAAAUUCGUAAGAUAUUCGGAAGAACACCAGUGGCGAAGGCGACUGACUGGACAAGUAUUGACGCUGAGGUACGAAAGCGUGGGGAAGCAAACAGGG
rnacentral:rRNA from 1 species